rnacentral:rRNA from 1 species
CGAAAGCCUGACGGAGCAAUACCGCGUGAGGGAGGAAGGCCUUUGGGUUGUAAACCUCUUUUCUCAGGGAAGAAGUUCUGACGGUACCUGAGGAAUAAGCAUCGGCUAACUCCGUGCCAGCAGCCGCGGUAAUACGGAGGAUGCAAGCGUUAUCCGGAAUUAUUGGGCGUAAAGCGUCCGCAGGUGGUCUUUCAAGUCUGCUGUUAAAGACCAGAGCUUAACUCUGGGCAGGCGGUGGAAACUGGAAGACUAGAGUUCGGUAGGGGUAGCGGGAAUUCCCAGUGUAGCGGUGAAAUGCGUAGAUAUUGGGAAGAACAUCGGUGGCGAAGACGCGCUACUGGACCGAAACUGACACUCAGGGACGAAAGCUAGGGUAGCGAAAGGGAUUAGAUACCCCUGUAGUCCUAGCUGUAAACGAUG